GUGAGGAAUUUUGCGCAAUGGGGGAAACCCUGACGCAGCAACGCCGCGUGGGUGAAGAAGGCCUUCGGGUCGUAAAGCCCUGUCAGGUGGGAAGAACGGUCCUUGAGCGAACAGUUCGGGGAUUUGACGGUACCACCAGAGGAAGCACCGGCUAACUCCGUGCCAGCAGCCGCGGUAAUACGGAGGGUGCGAGCGUUGUUCGGAAUCAUUGGGCGUAAAGGGCGUGUAGGCGGCUGGGUAAGUCUGAUGUGAAAGCCCGGGGCUCAACCCUGGAAGUGCAUUGGAGACUGCUCGGCUUGAGUACUGGAGAGGAUGGGGGAAUUCCCGGUGUAGAGGUGAAAUUCGUAGAGAUCGGGAGGAAUACCAGUGGCGAAGGCGCCCAUCUGGACGGAUACUGACGCUGAGACGCGAAAGCGUGGGGAGCAAACAGGAUUAGAAACCCGUGUAGUCC
rnacentral:rRNA from 1 species